UCGCAUUUCACCGCUCCACCGGAAAUUCCCUCUGCCCCUACCGUACUCCAGCUUGGUAGUUUCCACCGCCUGUCCAGGGUUGAGCCCUGGGAUUUGACGGCGGACUUAAAAAGCCACCUACAGACGCUUUACGCCCAAUCAUUCCGGAUAACGCUUGCAUCCUCUGUAUUACCGCGGCUGCUGGCACAGAGUUAGCCGAUGCUUAUUCCCCAAAUACCAUCAUUGCUUCUUCUCCGGGAAAAGAAGUUCACGACCCGUGGGCCUUCUACCUCCACGCGACAUUGCUCCGUCAGGCUUUCGCCCAUUGCGGAAAAUUCCCCAUUGCUGCCUCCCGUAGGAGUCUGGGCCUUGUGAGGCUAAUGGAUCCCAAGAUUACAAAAUUGGGUAAGAAAGUUACUACUUGUGCUUUUCUUGGUUAUGCUUCAAAUAGUACGGCCUAUAGAUUUUUUAAUGUUGAAGAUAAGAUUGUAAUGGAAUCGGGUGAUGCUAUCUUUCAUGAGAAUAAAUUCCCUUUUGAUUCUAAAAAUGUGGGGGUCAAAGGAUUAAACAAAAUAUUUUGUCACUACCUAGUUCUUCUACUUCUACUUUGAAAAAUAAGAAAUUGAUGAUUUUGAGUUAAGAAGAAGUAAAAGAGCUAGAGUGGAAAAAGAUUUUGGUCCUGAUUUUUAUGUGUUUAAUGUUGGAGAUGACGCUCUCACUUUGAAAGAAGUAUUAUCUUCACAUGAUUCUAUUUUUUGGAAAGAGGUUGUAAAUGAUGAAAUGGAAUCACUAAUUUCUAAUAAAACUUGGAAGUUAGUUGAUUUACCAUUGGGUUGUAAAACUAUUGGUUGCAAAUGGGUCUUAAGAAAAAAGUUAAAACCGGAUGGAUCUACUGAUAAAUACAGGGCUAGACUAGUUGCAAAAGGUUUUAAACAACUAGAAGGCCUAGUAAUUUUUUUAUACUUUUUCACCGGUAACAAGAAUUACAUCCAUAAGACUUUUAAUUGCUAUGGCUGCAAUUUUUUAUUUACAAAUUCAUCAAAUGAAUGUAAAAACUGUUUUUUUUUUAAAUGGAGACCUAAAUGAGGAAAUUUGUAUGGAUCAACCUGAAUAUUUUGUUGAAGCAGGCCAAGAAAGCAAAGUAUGUAAACUUACUAAAUCCCUAUAUGGCUUGAAACAAGCACCAAAGCAAUGGCAUGAAAAAUUUGAUUCCUGCAUGAUUGAAAACGGUUUUAAAACAAAUAAGUGUGAUACGUGCAUAUAUCAUAAGUCUUGGAAUAAUUCACAUGUGAUUAUUUGCCUAUAAGUUGAUGAUUUAUUGAUAUUUGGCUCUAACAUGAGUGUUAUUGAUGAAGCUAAAAAUAUUCUUAGAAGCCAUUUUGAUAUGAAAGAUCUUGGUGAGGCAAAUUUUAUUCUUGGAAUAAAAAUAACAAGAACAUGUAAUGGAAUUUUCCUUGACCAGUCACAUUAUGUUGAGAAAAUUUUGAAAAAAUAUAACUUUCAUGAUUGCAAGCAUGUUGUAACUCCUUUUGAUUCAAGUGUUCACUUAUUUUCUAUUGAAAGUGAAAAUGAUGUAAUAAAUCACAAGGAAUAUGCUAGCAUAAUCGGAAGUUUGAGAUAUGUAACUGAUUGCACUAGGCCUGAUAUUGCAUAAGCAGUAGGAGUACUUGGCAGGUUUACAAGCAAGCCAGGAAAUGAACAUUGGCAUGCUAUGACAAGAGUUCUGAGAUAUUUAAUUGGAACAAAAAAUUGUGGUUUGUUCUAUAAAAAAUAUCAUGUUGUGCUUGAAGGCUUUAGUGAUGCAGAUUGGAACACAUUAUCAGGUGAUUCCUAUUCUACCACUACCACUGGUUAUGUCUUUACUUUAGGUGGUGAUGCUAUUUGUUGGAGAUCAAAAAAGCAAACUAUAAUUGCUAACUCUACCAUGGAGGCUGAACUAAUUGCUUUAACUUCAGCUAGUGAGGAAGCGAAUUGGUUAAGAGAUUUGUUAUUUCAAAUACCUUAUUUUGAAAAACCAAUUCCUCCUAUUUUAAUUCAUUGUGAUAGCAUCGCUGCGAUUGGUAGAGUUCAAAACCGUUAUUACAACGGUAAAUCCAGACCUAUAAGGAGGAAACACAGUAAUGUAAGAUCGUAUUUGACAAAUGACACCAUUAAUGUUGAUUAUAUCAAAUCUUGUAAUAAUCUUGCAGAUCCUCUUACUAAGGCUUUAACAAGAGAAAAGGUUUGGAGCACAUCGAGGGGGAUGGGAUUGAAGCCUAUAAAUCCUUGAGACAUACACUAUAAGAAAAGUGUGAACUACAUGGGGAUUUUCCUAGGGAUUAAUAUGAAAAUCAGUAGGAAACUUAUUUUCUUACAAAUUUUCAUACUAAUCCCUAGGAAAAUUCCCAUGUAAUUAACCAUUUUCUUGUAGUGAUAUAUGAGGAAACCUAACUUGUGGACUAGAGAUUUUAUAACCAAGUUUAAAGGGAAAAACUAAUCAUAUGAUGACUUGUUGUGAAAAAUGCACUAUUUUCUAUUUCCUCCCUAUGAUGUGAGUGCAUAGUUUUCUGUAGUAAUUUGUGAAGGUUGAGUUGAUAAAACUCUUAAUGAAUAUUUGUAGCCCGUAUGAGUGGAGUGUUAAACUUAUAGGAACACUCUCAACAGAUUUCACAUAUGUGAGUGUGGAAGUAGGUCGUUUCCUAUGAGAAUUGGACUUAUUCUCAAAAGCACUCAUGAAACCGGAAUAGCACAAGGCCGUAACGUGUUGUCUUUUAAAGCUCAUGUCAACACCUUGAUUAUUGUGUGUGAGCAGUGAUAUUUUAUUUCCCUUAAGCAGUCAUAGUUCAAGUUUGAGACCACUACGACUCUGGAGUAAAAGUUAUUGUUUCACUAAAUGGAGGUUCAAUGCAGAGCACACCUUCAUUAUGCAUAGUAGUCUUUCUUCCGCUGAUAGACUCUCUUAUAUAAUAUUAAAAUGAGUGAUAAAUUGUUGGUUUAUUAGCAUUUUAAUAGUAAUAUUUUGUAUACUAAUUUGCUAAAACUUAGUAUAGCCGUUGAUGCCAACCAUUAGUGGCUUUCCAGCUUGCUGCCGUUGCUUAUCAUAAUUGCUGCAUUAGUGCUAUUCAGCAUUACUCCAAAUGGAGUAAGUGCAUAUGUUACAAACUUUUUGGUGCAGCAGCAAGCCGUUGGUGGCUUAGUGUUUCUUUAUCUUCCUAUUUAUUGCUAGGAAGACUUCGUCUAGUAUAAAUAGUGAUGGUCUUCAUUUGGUUUACACACAAGAAAAAUAUAGAGAGGAAAAAGUUAGUCAAAAAAAGAGAUUUCUUAUUAGUUAAAGGGAGGUGUUCUUUUUCUGGAGCUUUGGACUUAACUCUUGUCCAGACUUGUUGAGUUAUACUUUGUGUUAAGGUUGUUGUAUCCUGGAGGGGACAAGUCAAGAAGGACUACUGCUGGACCGGUGAAAAACAUUUGUUGCAGUGAGCUUGAAUCUCCAUAAAGAGAGCGAAAUAUCCACGCCUCAGCUAGAAGAGAUUUAUUUCUUCAUUUUUAUUUUCAAUUGUAAUCUUGUAAUUCUGUUAUAUUGUAAUUUUUCACUAACAUAUAAUCUUUUAUAAUAUAAUAUAGAGAAAUUUUGGAAUCCUUUUAUUUUAAAAAUCAAGCCAUUUUGUUGUGUUGUGUAUUGAUUUGUUGUUUCUAAAGUCAAAAUCAAUUUUUGUCAUGAUUUCAACCAUUGGGACACUUCAAAGCCACAGUCACGAUGAAGUAGAAAAGAAUUGAAGAAAAAAAUUAAUUUAAAUAAAAGUAACAAUAGAAAAACGAAAUAGUGAAGAAGAAAUUUGGAGAGAAAAAAUUGAAUAAGAGGCAAGAGAAAGCUCAAAUUUUGUUGAAAUAUAAAUGGAGAAGAAAAUGGGUGUUAUCAUGGCCAAAAGGGGUCACUAAUACCUUUGUAAAAGAUCUUCACGCUCCUAAAAUGAGUGUAUCACACGCACCUUAGGUUUUUAAGCCACAUAGGAUGUCAAGUCAAAACAAAGAUUCAAAAUAUUGUGUUAUAGUAAGUUUAAGGGUUUAGUUGAUAAAAUAAUAAGUAGGAGGGUUCAACUGACAAAGAGAACCAAGUACAAGGGUCUCUGAGAUCAUUCUGCCAUUAAAAAAUAAAAGAUAUUUUUUGAAAAAUAUUUCUCAUUUACUAAACAAACAUUAAAAAGUACUUUUUCAAAAAUUAUUUUUCACUCACCAAUCAAACAUAAAAAUAAAAUUAUAAAUUAACUUGUUUUUCAAUCAUGUCUUUUUAAAUUGCAGAAAACAUUUUCUACGCACCUCAUGUGUUUUUUAAUUGUUGAAAACGUGGGAUCCUCCCUUUAAUUUCUUUGGCACUUGUUUUAUUUGAUCCAAAAAUGGGCCCUUAUACUUUUUCUUGUCUUUCUCCUUGUCAUUUAACUUAAAAUGAAUUACUUCUUUCAAUUUGAGAUCUUCAUUUUAAAAAAUUAUAACUAAUCAAAUUUUAUAAUAAAUAUGGAAUAAUAGCAUAAAAAGUAAGUAUGAUUAAGUAAUGUCAUUAAUUGUAAUUUUGGAUCAAAUUAAUUAAAUAUAUUGACGACUGGUGAAAUAAAUUAUACUGUCUUUAUUAUAAUUUUAAUAUUAAAAAAUAAGCAAAGUAUUAUAGUACCAAAAAGACAUUUUCCAAUGCAUUAUUACUUUAUUAUAUAUUUAAAAAUUGAUGAGAAAACUCUCGAGUCCCAAAUUGGGUUUGGGUCGAAUCUCCUUUUUGGUGUUAGGUUCCGGGGUCAAAUUCCGAUUCGAAAGUUGGAUCCCGAUUUAGGGGUUAGGUCCUAGAUCGAGAGUCGGGGUCGGGUUCUAGAUUGCGUUUUGAGGUUGGGUUCCGAGUCAAAAGUUGGAUUUCAAAUUAGGAGUCACGAGUGGUUAGUAGAUAUAAAUGUGGAUUUCUUUUUUUAAAAUAUAAAUUUUUGGAUCAAUUUUUGUAUUUGAAAUUUUCAAAUCAUGCAUUUCGGAGAAUUUGAAUUUCAUCUCAGCAUCAAAUCACAUGUUCUAACGCUGAUUUUAUUUCAUGAUUUUAUGUCACGAUAUGAAAUCGGAUGUUCAAACGCCUACUUAGUAAAAUGUCCAUCUAAUCUGAGACGAAGGUAGUACUCAUUAUUAUCGAGGCUCAUUUUUUCCAAGAAAUAUUAAUACUCCCUCUGUCCCUAAUUACUAGUUCACUUUUGAAUUGGCACACCUAUUAAGAAAACAAUUAUUGACAUAGUAGUUUACCAUUUUAUCCCUAUUAAUUAUGAAGUUGAUGAAUUAAAAACUUAAGAUUUUCAAGAAGCUCUACUUUUUUCAAAGUAAUUAAUUGAGGGUAUAAUAGGUAAAAUAAAUUUGCCCUUUCUUGAUUUGUCAAAAUGGAUACGUAAUUAGGGACAACCAAAAAAAGUAAAAAUGGACAAGUAAUUAGGGACAGAGGGAGUAGGAAACUUGGUCCACAUGAUGUAGAUAUCCUUUGACAUUUGCUUAAGUCUUACAUUUUUCUCAUUAUGAAUAUUUUUAGUUAUUUAUCAUUUAAAUCUUACAGUAGACAUGUUACUUGUUAAUUUUGUAUUUAAUUAAGAAGAAAUUUCUUGAGCCAAAGAGCAGAAUGUUUGGGAUAUCUGUUUAGAUUAUCAUUGUAAUCAACAUAGUUAAGACCAAAUCUUUGAGUGUAUCCUGAACUCCAUUCGAAAUUAUCCAAAAACGACCACGCAAAGUAGCCCUUUACGUCCACACCCUUCCUGUUAAUAACAAAUAAAAAUUAAGAUUAAAACAUGAAUGUAAAUUAUUAAAUUUACAAAACAUUAAUACGUAUUAUUAAGAACAUGACUUAUUUAAUAAAUACUUUGAAAAUAAAUCAAUAUGAAGAAAUGUGUAUAUUUAUUUGGUAAAAGAGCACUCGUAUAUAAUAAUUAGGGAAAAAAGUCUGAAAUAUAUCCGAACUUUGAUCGAAAUUGUUGUAAUAAUACCGAACUUUGGAAAGGACCUUUUACCCCCUGCUCUAUUUAAUAGUUAUUUUAAAGGUAUAUAUGAGUCCACGUGGACAUCAUAAAUAUUGUAUCAUUAUAAAUAGUAAUGUGUCCACGUGGGCACAUAUAUACCUUUAAAAUAUACUAUUAAAUAGUGCAGGGGUAAAAGGUCAUCUAUAAAAUUUGGUAUCGUAACAGUAAUUUCGGCAAAAGUUGAAGUAUUUUUCAGAACUUUUUCCCUAAUAAUUAUAGUAGUAUUAAUUUAUUUGCGUAUUAUUAAAUAAGUCAUGUUUUCAUUAAUAUGCGUUAAUAUGAAAAAAUUAAUAUAACGAAGGACAAAUUUGUCAACUCAUAAUUGAUUUAUAUUAAUUUUUAAAUAGAUUUAAAGAAUGGUUACAGAAAAAUCAAAAUAAGGGAGAUAUGCAUAAUAUGAUAAACCACAAAGGAGGUGAGUGUUAUAUAGAGCGAAAACCUAAAGGGAGGUCUCUGAAGUUAUCCGUUGUUUCUAACUAAAUCUUCAAUGUUAAUGUAGUAUUUCUUUUUUAAUAUUGUUCAAUUUUCAUAAAAUAUAUUGAAUAAAUAAGAGUAACUUAUUUAUUAACUUGUAAGAUAAUUGUGUUUCAAAUAUUAGUAUUAGCAUAAAAGAAGGGGAAAGAUAAACUAUAAUUAAUUAAAUUAAGAAGAUAAUUAAUUACUUACUUAAGGGAUGCUUUAAGGGCCAAGAAAUGGCGACGUAAGAAAUCCACUCUUUGCAAGUCAUUCACUCCUUUCUCAACCAUUGUUACAUUUGCAUCACUCAUACCUUUUUAUGAUAUUAAAAAUAAUAAUAAUAAAGUUAAAUUCAAUUUCUACAAAAAUAAUUCUGUAAAUUAAUUAAUUCACUCAGUUGUAAAAAAAUAUUUAUUAUUGUACCGUUCUCUGUUAUGUAAAUUUUUGGAUUAUUGUACUUUUCUUUUGUAUAGACAAGAACUUCUAAAAUUCCUCUAGGGACAACAUGGAAAACUGCCGAUCCUGUCUGCAUCCAAAAACAAAAAAUUAAAAACAAAUGUUAUAUUAUUAAAAAGAUUAAUCAUUGAAUAAUAAUAAUAAUAAUAAUUAAGAUUAAGAGAAUUAAGGACAUGCCGUUUCACCAAUAAGCUUUCCAUUUCUUUCCACUACAAAAAAGAAAAGAA
rnacentral:lncRNA from 1 species